rnacentral:rRNA from 1 species
UUCGCAAUGCCCGAAAGGGUGACGAAGCGACGCCGCGUGUGGGAAGAAGGCCUUCGGGUUGUGAACCACUGUCGGGAGUUAGGAAAUGUAAGGGUGCUAAUAGUAUCCUUACUUGACUAAGGCUCUGGAGGAAGCCACGGCUAACUCUGUGCCAGCAGCCGCGGUAAUACAGAGGCGGCAAGCGUUGUUCGGAAUUAUUGGGCGUAAAGAGCACGUAGGCGGCCUUGUAAGUCAGUUGUGAAAGCCUUCUGCUUAACGGAAGAACAGCAGCUGAUACUGCAAGGCUAGAGUGCGGAAGGGGAGAGUGGAACUUCUGGUGAAGCGGUGAAAUGCGUAGAUAUCAGAAGGAACACCGGCGGCGAAGGCGACUCUCUGGUCCGUAACUGACGCUGAGUGUGCGAAAGCUAGGGGAGCAAACGGGAUUAGAUACCCCGGUAGUCCUAGCCGUAAAC